rnacentral:rRNA from 1 species
GUAGUCCUGGCAGUAAACGGUGCGCGUUUGGUGUGGGGGGAUUCGACAAUCUCCGCGCCGGAGCUAACGCGUUAAACGCGCCGCCUGGGAAAUACGGUCGCAAGAUUAAAACUCAAAGAAAUUGACGGGGGCCCGCACAAGCGGUGGAGUAUGUGGCUUAAUUCGAUGCAACGCGAAGAACCUUACCUGGGCUUGACAUGCAUCGCUAAGGCGGUGAAAGCCGCCGAGCCCCGCAAGGGGCACUUUGCACAGGUGCUGCAUGGCUGUCGUCAGCUCGUGUCGUGAGAUGUUGGGUUAAGUCCCGCAACGAGCGCAACCCUUAUGAACUGUUGCUACGGCUUUACGCCGAGCUCUCUGUUCAGACCGCCCUGUGAAACGGGGA